rnacentral:miRNA from 1 species
UUUGCCGGACUAGGCCCGCGUGC